rnacentral:rRNA from 1 species
GCCAGACUCCUACGGGAGGCAGCAGUGGGGAAUAUUGCACAAUGGGGGAAACCCUGAUGCAGCGACGCCGCGUGGGUGAAGAAGUAUUUCGGUAUGUAAAGCCCUAUCAGCAGGGAAGAAAAUGACGGUACCUGACUAAGAAGCCCCGGCUAACUACGUGCCAGCAGCCGCGGUAAUACGUAGGGGGCAAGCGUUAUCCGGAUUUACUGGGUGUAAAGGGAGCGUAGGUGGCGUGCCAAGUCAGGAGUGAAAACCCAGGGCCCAACCUUGGGACUGCUCUUGAAACUGGCAGGCUUGAGUGCUGGAGAGGUAAGCGGAAUUCCUAGUGUAGCGGUGAAAUGCGUAGAUAUUAGGAGGAACACCGGUGGCGAAGGCGGCCUGCUGGACGAUGACUGACGCUGAGGCUCGAAAGCGUGGGGAGCAAACAGGAUUAGAUACCCGAGUA